UCUGUAGGUGAACCUGCGGAAGGAUCAUUAUCGAGUUUUGACUGGGUUGUAGCUGGCCUUCCGAGGCAUGUGCACGCCCUGCUCAUCCACUCUACACCUGUGCACUUACUGUGGGCUUCAGAUCGUAAAACGGGUCCCUUUACCGGGCUUGCGGAGCGUGUCUGUGCCUGCGUUUAUCACAAACUCUAUAAAGUAUCAGAAUGUGUAUUGCGAUGUAACGCAUCUAUAUACAACUUUCAGCAACGGAUCUCUUGGCUCUCGCAUCGAUGAAGAACGCAGCGAAAUGCGAUAAGUAAUGUGAAUUGCAGAAUUCAGUGAAUCAUCGAAUCUUUGAACGCACCUUGCGCUCCUUGGUAUUCCGAGGAGCAUGCCUGUUUGAGUGUCAUGAAAUCUUCAACCUGCAAGCUUUUGUGGUUUGUAGGCUUGGACUUGGAGGCUUGUCGGCCGUUGUCGGUCGGCUCCUCUUAAAUGCAUUAGCUUGGUUCCUUGCGGAUCGGCUCUCAGUGUGAUAAUGUCUACGCUGCGACCGUGAAGCGUUUGGCGAGCUUCUAACCGUCUCAGUUGGAGACAACUUUAUGACCUCUGACCUCAAAUCAGGUAGACACCCGCUCCCUUGC
rnacentral:rRNA from 1 species